UUAUACUUAUAUUAUUAGUAAAACAUACUCAAAAAAUCGGUAAAGUUUACUGAUAUUCCGACAAAACCGACUUCACCUAUUUUUGAGUAAUCGCAUUUACCCAUAUUUGGGUGAAAAAUUGAACAUAAACAAAUCCAAACUGAUGGUCGCCGCGUCAAUGUCGUCGUCGUCGCAAGUAAUUUUUUUCCUAUUUUUAUCAAUUACCGGACAGUCAAAAUUGAUAAUCUUUGAUCCGAAUAUAUUCAAGCACCGGUCGGCAGCACCAUAUCGGCUUCCUCGAAGGUUUACAUGGCGAGAUCAACGAGGAAACAGAAAAGUUCCCGAACCAUCGGCGGAACCAUCUCUCCUCGGAUAGCUGACAAUUGCUGAUCACAAACGGGACAAUAUGUUGCUUCGCGCACCUGGUGCCAUGGCGAUCAACGAUUAUAGAAAACAAUAGUUCCCGAACCAUCGGCGGAGAGAACCAUCUCUGCUCAGAUAGCUGACCACGAACCAUUGAAAAUACAGGAAACGCAAGGAAGAAAUAGCAUGUGGGCACUAAAGGGAUGCUGAUUUCUUUUUAAACCAAAUCCACCUUUUGCCUCCGAUGCUCCUGUUGUUAUCCCCCUCAUUCGCUGUCUGUCCCGGUGCUACGAUUCCUGCUCGUAGCGAAAUCCAUUCAUUCGCUGCUUUUCGAUCCUGCUGCUGUAAUAUAUAUUUUUAUUCAACUGAACAAUAAGCAUGCUGCGGAAAACCGUUUGUUUCACCAAGCUGAUCAGCUGUCAUAUACCACGAAGAAAGCUUUAUUGGACAACAACCAUUCUGGAUUUGACGGGUCCAGAGCUUCCCCAGAAGCAACUGCGAACGAUAGAUAAUGAAGGAGGUUAGCAGGCCAUUGGAGGAACAAUCUUUAGCGGAGCCGUCGACAUAUCGCGAGAGAGAACGUGAACAUUUGCGCGAAUCGGACUGAAAACAAAGGCUGCUGCUUUUUCGUACCGAGGGCAGAUUUUACUAUGGGAUGUUAAAGUAGCUUCCAAACCGAAGAUCUUGAUUUAAUGAAUACAUUUUUAGGUCUUUGCACUUGUGGUGAUGACGGAACGGAUUUUUUACCGUACUUCUAGCCAAGCUUCCAGCAUCCUAAUAGAUCCCUACACGGCUACUGCGGAGCAGGCUAGCAGGUGACCCGGUUAACUAGCAGGUGCUGCGGUUAACGCUUACUGACUCCAAGCUGCUGCUGAUCAUCCAGCCGUCGCCAGUUCUGGUAUCGUCGAUCGGGUGAUUUUAAUCUUUCGGCAACCAAAGCCCAACGUCCAACAACGAAUACACGGGUUGAUAAAAGCUGUACAUCGUAAAUAUAUUAAUAUUUUGAAAUUUGAUUAAAAAGGCAGGCCAAAAAGCUGCCAGCUGAUAAUAGAUAUAAAACGACGAAAA